GAUGAACGCCGACAGAAUGCUUAACACAUGCAAGUCUUUGGCGAAGCUGUGCUUGCACAGCCUAGCCAAGGCGGACGGGUGAGUAACGCGUAAGGAACUUGCCCUGCAGUCAGGGAUAACAGACGGAAACGACUGAUAAGACCUGGUAAAGUCAGGCGGACUCAUGUCCAGCCUGAUGAAAAGAGAUGCUGCAGGAGAGCCUUGCGUCCUAUUAGCUUGUUGGUGGGGUAACGGCCCACCAAGGCGAUGAUAGGUAGCCGGCCUGAGAGGGUGGACGGCCACAAGGGGGCUGAGAUACGGCCCUUACUCCUACGGGAGGCAGCAGUGGGGAAUAUUGGACGAUGGGGGCAACCCUGAUCCAGCAAUUCUGUGUGCACGAUGAAGGUUUUCGGAUUGUAAAGUGCUUUCAGCGGGGAAGAAAAAAAUGACGGUACCUGCAGAAGAAGCGACGGCUAAAUACGUG
rnacentral:rRNA from 1 species